rnacentral:rRNA from 1 species
UAAUUAGCGGUAAAUACAACAUAUUCUUAAGUAAAUAAGAAUAUAGAUAAAAAUAACAAAUAAGAGAAAAUAUUAGGAUGUUAUUAUAUAUAAUGUCCUUUUCCCUUUUCUUCUUAUUUUGUUUUUUUUAUUCUAUUUCUUUUUUUACUUAAGAAUGUAUUUACUUGAUUGUAAAGCUUCUUAGAGGAACACUGUGUGUCUAACACAAGGAAGUUUAAGGCAACAACAGGUCUGUGAUGUCCUUAGAUGAACUAGGCUGCACGCGUGCUACACUGAUAUAUAUAACGAGUUAUUAAAAAUAUAUCUGUGUAUAGAUGUAUUUUAUAUAUAUAUAUGCAAAAGGUAUAAUUUUCCUCCACUGAAAAGUGUAGGUAAUCUUUAUCAAUAUAUAUCGUGAUGGGGAUAGAUUAUUGCAAUUAUUAAUCUUGAACGAGGAAUGCCUAGUAAGCAUAAUUCAUCAGAUUGU